rnacentral:misc_RNA from 1 species
UACGUAGGGGGCGAGCGUUGUCCGGAAUGACUGGGCGUAAAGGGCGUGUAGGCGGCCGAUUAAGUCUGGAGUGAAAGUCCUGCUUUCAAGGUGGGAAUUGCUUUGGAGACUGGUUGGCUUGAGUGCGGAAGAGGUAAGUGGAAUUCCCAGUGUAGCGGUGAAAUGCGUAGAGAUUGGGAGGAACACCAGUGGCGAAGGCGACUUACUGGGCCGUAACUGACGCUGAGGCGCGAAAGCGUGGGGAGCGAACAGG